rnacentral:ncRNA from 1 species
UAUAUUUUGAAAUUUUAGUGAGUAGGAAGGUAUUAUGGUAUGCGUUGAAGGAUCUAGCGUGAGCUGAUAUGGAGCUUCCAUAAGCACAGAUCUUGGUGGUA